GACUAUAUUUGUGUAAGACAAAAAGCAAACAAGCCUAAUUUUCCAUUGGGUAAUGCCAUAAAUGUGUUUGCACAGUGAGUGCUUAAAAGCACAUUGUGUUCCAUACAGACAAAUAAAAUACAUGGCCCUGCCUGAAGGAGUAGAGACCAUAGCUUGGUUUUAUGCUGGGCAGGUGUUUUCUAUCCUGGCUGCAUUAUAACACCAGCCAAUUUAACAAUAAAAAGCUCUUGAAAACUCAACAACACAGUCCAAAAUGAUGAGCAAUUUUCAUUAGUUUGAGCUUAAGCAUUUUCUUCAGUAUAAACUUCUUGGACUGCUGAGUAGGAGAUGGAUCCAAAAAUGAAACAGAAUAACGCUUCUCUCCAGCUCUACGAAAUCUCUGUCGGGGCCAAAGGUUUGAGUGAAUGUAUUAUAUGAAAAAACAGCUUUCAUCUAGUACAGAAGCUCUAUUGUGCUUCAGAAAGAGUUUUGGAGUCAUCUAAAUUUUUACUUCUUACCCAUGAGUACAUAGCCUCAAACAGCUCGUUUUGAAGCUGGAAGUCUGUAAUCAGAACGGGUCAGGCCAGAAUUGUUCCACCGGUAUGGAUAUAUGUUUAUUUUUACUUUAAAUUGUAACAUCAGCCGAAAAAUGAGAAGCCCGCCUAAAAGGUUAUCAGAUCUAAUGCACUUUUACUGGGAUAAGGAGGAAAUACAGCAGUGGUAAACAAAUAUAAGAACCUAUUGUGACUGCGGCUUAGAAUCACCAGGAGACCAAUUAACACCUUUUUGUUAGGAUUAACCAUUAUGAUGUUUGCUGCAAGAGCCUUAAAUUGGUACUUUCUUGUAGUUCAAAGUGUGACUACAUUGCAGUUAUAAGGGAAGUAGAGAUCAAAGCUCCCAGAACAAAUAAUUACAUGAAGGUAAAUUCCAUCUGAUGUAGGAAGCUGCAGAAGCCUCCAAAGAAUAGCAAAUAGUCUGGCAGGGAGCAGCGUGUAGGAGUGUGAGCAAUACAAAAGGGAGGCUUUCAAAGGGAAAACGCCUCCCCUCAAAAUGAUGGAGUGAAUCGGCUGGUCUGAAACCAUUUCGUUGUACGGGGCUGCUCUUUGCUGUGUCAGCAGUUCCAUUAUGAAGCUUUAUUUUCGGAGGUUCAUCACUCAGAUGAACCAGUGCUAAUACGUGGCAUAGAAAGUCUGUGUGGGGUCUCUUUCUUCGGCUGGGAAUUUUAAAGGUAAUUAAGAAGGAAAAAACCCAUUGUGCUAUAUUUGGUGACUGUUUUAUUUUCUUGAUGUUGGUCCUAUGCCCAGGAGGGGAGGUUGGAGGGUGGGAAUAAUGGAAUUCCCCUCAUUGCCUCUAUGUUCCUCUUGAGGCCUUUCAGUGGUGGUUUGCCAAUGAGAAACUUGUAUUUAAAUAAAUACCUCUGGAAUUAAUUGAAGUCUCAGCUUUGAUGUACUAUGUGUCUAGAUGAUACUGUCUCUCAAUUUAGACUCUGGGCCUAAAGUAGAGGGGAAUUUCUAUUUUUUUCACCUAAAAUACGGGAAAAAAAAAACCUCAAGCCUCCAGGCCAUAAGUAAACAGUUAUGCUGUUUUAGUGGUUUUCUGAAUGAGUCAUUGUUUUAUUUAUUUAUUGAAUUUUGCUGAAAAACAGCAAUGAAAUGGGUAAGUGACAGCUGAAGAAGUCAGCUCAAGUUAUUAUAGCCUCAAAGAAUUAUGGGUUAUAUAAGGAAAAAAAAAAAGCAAAAUUUCAGGGAAGCUCAGAUUUUCUAUUCUAUCACUUUCAAAGCUUACUAUUUCUGUGUUAUUUAUUUUUUCCAGCUUGAAGGGUGCCAAAAUCUACCUUUAAAGUAAAGGGUUAAAGUGGAGGGAAAUGUGUAGUGGAAGGAUAAAUAUUUUGAAUUUUUAUGUGUAUGAGUGAAAAUUACACAGCAUAAAUGUACCUGUCCUGAAAAUGAAAUAAAUUAUUAAGACCUCUAUAAAUGACACUGCAAUUACUCUCCUUCUAAUUAGAAGCUAGGAACCUGUAAUUCCAUAAGCAGCCUCCUCCUUAUUCUCUUAGGUUAUAAAAGAUGUAUUCCUUCAAAGGCUGGGCGUCAUGGAAUAAUAAGUUAACAUUUCAGUAUGGCAUUGACUCACCUGUUUUCUCUCAGCUUGCAUUCAGCUGACCCCCUGUAUUCAUGUCAGCUCCUCAGGCAGAUAAAAUAUUUGUCAUACAAUUAAAUAUUUAUUGUGUCCUGAGGGUAUUCUGAGUGAAAUCUGCACUGAUUUAGAAAAAGGUGUGUGUUAGCUGAACUGGGCCAAAAAGCUGCACUGACAGCCUUCUUGCAGCUCAGUUCAACCUCUCAUCAAUUUAACUUAAAUUGCCAGGCAUCAGUAUAAAUACUACUACAUACAGUGCACUUUUAAUGCCAGAGGUUUGAAGCUAUUUGAAUAGUACACUAGUAAAGAUGUUGCUACAUUUUCCCAAUGCAUUGUUUAAAAGAAAAGGAUCUAGGCCUAGCUAUUUUUCUUCCCCUCCCACGGGCAACACAGGGAUUAACUGCCACCUUCUUCGUCAAGAGACAAAUACCUCCCCUCCCUCCCCAAAUUCUUUUUUUCCGACUGGAAAACUGUAACUACAAUACUGACUGUAAAGUUAGCAUUCAUCAGAAUGAUUUUAUUAUUAGAAUGAAAUGAACAUUUUUCUCUAUUUUCUUCAUUUCUCUCCUUGAGCUGCUGGUGUGUCCCUGGGGUUAUGCGGGUGCCGCUUGCCUGGGGGAUGCUGCUGAGGGAAGGACAGCACCUGAGUGUGGGGGAUGGCAUGUGCCCAAGUCCCUCCUAGGGAAAAACAGGCAUGCCUUCUUCCCUCUGCCAUCUAAAAAUGAAAGUGAAAGGAGAGUGUGACGCUGUGUGCUGAGGCCAGCCGCAGCACCCCUUCCACCUUGUCAAGCCUCUUGUCCCAUGGCCACUCUGGCGAGGACAUAGCAUCGUCCUUAAAAACUAGCGUAUAGACCCAACCAAAAAUGCUUGUGAUGUUCAUGAGGUGAAGGCCCAGCCUCCCUGUGCCCAGCAUCACACGACCUCGCUGCGGAGCCUCCAGCCCCACCAUGGGGACACAGCUGACUGGGGUGAGUGAAGAGCUUCCCAGCGGCUAGUUGGCACCAGCAGUGAGCAGAGGUUUCCUGCUUCUUUCCCUCGUCUCCGACUGCAAGGCCUUUUCUAAAACCAGCAAAUCUGGUGUUUAGAGUCACCUGUGCCCUAUCUGUGGUGUGGUUUAUCUUCCCAGCUGGACAGAGUAAGUCCUGGACCAUACGGGGGACCAGAGACACCAUAAAGAAUAAAUACCUGACUACAGAGAGCUGGAUUUCUGGAGGAGACAACAAUUAAUAUACAUAAAACAUUGGUAAUGAUUGACAGAAGGAAUAGUAUGGAUUAUGGUAUUUUGACUUCUUCACAACAGACGCUUGCUGUUGAAAACAGGUCUUUCUCAUAUGCAUAGAUCUCAUUUGCAGAGAACCCAAAAUGGACAAACAUGGCCUUUUUACAAUGCUCUAAAGAGGGAACAAGGGAAAAUAUUGUUGCUGGAUAUAAAUUUAACCACAGGCAUAGAAAAUGUAUUGAGAAUAAAAGUGAACUCCUGUGGUCUGUGAUUACCACAAAUAAAAAAUUAAGGAUUGAAAUACCUAUGUUAAUGGUUGUUAGAGUACUGCUCCUAUUAACAAAUGCAGUAUAGAGUUAAAGAUUUUUCUUCUCUGUGGAAAGGUGUACUUUGCAAGGGAGCAAUGAAUGAUUUUCUUCACUGAUUCAGUUGUGAAGUAUUCUGAAGUAUGAAACUCACACCUGUCAACUAAAAUGUGCCUUAGUGUGCCCAAUCUUUGAUGUCUCCAGUGUAUAUGUCUUCAUCUCAGCUAGCUGUUCUGGCUUCCCUUUAUAGUCACAGAAUGCAACAAAUAUACGUGUCAGGAUAGCAAGCAGCCUACUUUUUGCCUGUUGCCAAAGAUGACACAUUAGAGGACAUCUCAUCAAAACCUGAACUGUCCGAGAACUGAUGCCAUUCUCCAGCGUGUUGGCUGUAUCACGACAAGAUACAAAGCGUGUCCACAUGCACACAUGCAGGUGAGCACAUGUUCUCGUUCCAGCAGUACGUAGGGUUGGGUCGACUCCAGCCCCUCCAACGUGGGUGGCAGAGAGCAUUCAUGCAGCUGAUUACCUGGCUCUGCAGACCUACGCCAGGAGCUGUCUUGUUCAGUAACAGGGGAUUUUCACAGCACUGCCUACACAGUGCUGCUUCUGUGACUGUGAAAAAGUACAAGUAUUGCUACAAAUAGAGGGCUUCAGAUGUCACGGCUGUUUCUUCAGUAUGUUUUUGGAGCAACAAAGUGUACGGGCCCCUUUAAAAGGGUUAAAGUCACAGCAUUAUAAAGGCCACCUGAAAUCUAGGCAAUUCUGUCUGGAGACACAAUCUCCCAUUGCCUUGUGUGACCAACAAGAAUCAUCAAGGUAAAGAGCUCUCCACAAAAAGGACAAGGAAGCAAACUGCUCACUAACACAAGGCAAAAAUUUACCAAAUUUUUAGAAACAAAGAGACAAUCAUGUAAAAUAUAUGUGAUCUCAGCAAAUUAGGGGGAGGGAGAGGUGAAAGCAUUCAGCAUCUCUCAGGCUCAAGAUCUGUUCUAUAUUUGGUUGGAUUGUUAAUUGUACAAAACACUGAGAUAUAAGCACAAAAAAGUGCAUUGACUUUGCAAAAGCAUCCCUCUUGUUCAACAAUUAAAAAUGAAAGCAAAGAGUGAUUUAUCCACCAUUUAAAACCAGUCUUUAGAAUGUAACUCUCAUUCUUUUUGUUUAUAGCUCUCUUUUAUAAGAGGAGGUAAUAAAUAUUUUGGAAAGGACUGAUAUUUUAUGUGUUGUCAAUUUAUAGAAUGGUCUUAAAAGUGAGGAAUUUGGAGUGCUGAAUAAUAAGUCUUCCUAGCAUGAGUGAGCAAUAAAGCUGACUGGACACUGGGACUUUGAUGUGCAUCUGUGGGGAAAGUCAAUAAUAUAAAUUCAACUAACAUUUCUAAAAUGCAUUUUGGGUGUACUAUUGUAAAGUCUAAUUUCAAAUGUUUAUUUCUGGCUUCAUACAUAUGCAAAUUAAUAUUAAAAUACUGCAAGUCUGCACAAACAAUAUGUGUCCCACUGAGGUCAGUGGGAGUUUUGUCAAUAGUUUCUAUGAAUGCAAAAUUUCAUGUUAGCUGAAGCACAGCUGUCCUGGUUUAAUAGGAUUAAGCUGGAAGUUAAAAGGUUUUUAGCUAGCAAAAAAGUGAGGUCUUUUAACAGCCUUUCAAGUGAACUGACGGGGGGAGGGAGGGGAACAACAGAAAAAAAACCACCACC